ACGCUUUUCAUUGAUACAAAAUGGAGGGCGAGGAAGAAAUAGUAAUGUUUGAAUUGGCAGGACUACCCAAUCCUGAUCUAGUUAAGGACAAGUCCUGCUUCAUAUUGGGUUUAGAAACAGGUCAACCUUUAGUGCAGGUUGGGAGUUUAGUCUUUCAAGGAAAAUAUGAAGAUGUGUUUGGAACUGGUUUAAUAUUUGAGAAAUCACCAGAUGGAUCAGUCAAUUUGAUUGGUAAAUGUACAAAGAAAGCAAUAAUGAAAAGCAUUCCAAUGAAACACAACAACAAGGACAAUGAUUGAUAAUCAAUUAAGUAAUCAGUUGCAAUAUAAUGAAUAACUAAUGAUUAAUGAUCAAGAAACAGUUUAAUGGUCAUUCUUGUU